CAAGGAAUUUUCGUCAAUGGGCGCAAGCCUGAACGAGCAACGCCGCGUGGAGGAUGACGGCCUUCGGGUUGUAAACUCCUUUUUCGGGGACGAUGAUGACGGUACCCCGGGAAUAAGGCUCGGCUAACUCUGUGCCAGCAGCCGCGGUAAGACAGAGGAGCCAAGCGUUGUCCGGAUUGACUGGGCGUAAAGCGCACGCAGGCGGUCUGGCGCGUGGGGUGUGAAAUCUGGCCGCUUAACGGCCAGGCGCCAUCCCAUACGGCCGGACUGGAGCCGUGCAGAGGGCGGUGGAAUUGCCGGUGUAGUGGUGAAAUGCGUAGAGAUCGGCAGGAACACCCAGGGGGAAACCAGCCGCCUGGGCACGCGCUGACGCUGAGGUGCGAGAGCGUGGGGAGCGAACCGGAUUAGAUACCCGGGUAGUCCACGCCGUAAACGAUGGCCACUCGGCCUUUGGCGGCGGAACCUCCGUCGCUGGGGCCUUAGCUAACGCGGAAGUGGCCG
rnacentral:rRNA from 1 species